GACGAACGCUGGCGGCGUGCCUAAUACAUGCAAGUUGAGCGCUGAAGGUUGGUACUUGUACCAACUGGAUGAGCAGCGAACGGGUGGGUAACGCGUGGGGAAUCUGCCUUUGAGCGGGGGACAACAUUUGGAAACGAAUGCUAAUACCGCAUAAAAACUUUAAACACAAGUUUUAAGUUUGAAAGAUGCAAUUGCAUCACUCAAAGAUGAUCCCGCGUUGUAUUAGCUAGUUGGUGAGGCAAAGGCUCACCAAGGCGAUGAUACAUAGCCGACCUGAGAGGGUGAUCGGCCCCAUGUGGACUGAGACACGGCCCAAACUCCUACGGGAGGAAGCAGUAGGGAAUCUUCGGCAAUGGACGAAAGUCUGACCGAGCAAAGACGGGUGAGUGAAGAAGGUUUUCGGAUCGUAAAACUCUGUUGGUAGAGAAGAACGUUGGUGAGAGUGGAAAGCUCAUCAAGUGACGGUAACUACCCAGAAAGGGACGGCUAACUACGUG
rnacentral:rRNA from 1 species